rnacentral:rRNA from 1 species
CAGUAGCCACGGUAAUACGAAGGGGGCUAGCGUUGUUCGGAUUUACUGGGCGUAAAGCGCACGUAGGCGGAUCGAUCAGUCAGGGGUGAAAUCCCAGAGCUCAACUCUGGAACUGCCUUUGAUACUGUCGAUCUGGAGUAUGGAAGAGGUGAGUGGAAUUCCGAGUGUAGAGGUGAAAUUCGUAGAUAUUCGGAGGAACACCAGUGGCGAAGGCGGCUCACUGGUCCAUUACUGACGCUGAGGUGCGAAAGCGUGGGGAGCAAACAGGAUUAGAUACCCGAGUAGUCCCUGUCUCUUAUAC